rnacentral:rRNA from 1 species
UGGAUGGCGACCGGCGCACGGGUGAGUAACACGUAUCCAACCUGCCGACAACACUGGGAUAGCCUUUCGAAAGAAAGAUUAAUGCCGGAUGGCAUAGUUUUCCCGCAUGGGAUAAUUAUUAAAGAAUUUCGGUUGUCGAUGGGGAUGCGUUCCAUUAGGCAGUUGGCGGGGUAACGGCCCACCAAACCAACGAUGGAUAGGGGUUCUGAGAGGAAGGUCCCCCACAUUGGAACUGAGACACGGUCCAA